ensembl:misc_RNA Metazoa_SRP Metazoan signal recognition particle RNA
GCCGGGUGCGGUGGCUCACGCCUGUAAUCCCAGAACUUUUGGAGGCUGAGGCGGGUGGGUCACUUGAGGCCAGGAGUUUGAGACCAGCCUGGCCAACAUGGUGAAACCCCGUCUCUA